UACGUAGGGUGCAAGCGUUGUCCGGAAUUAUUGGGCGUAAAGAGCUCGUAGGCGGUUGUCGCGUCUGCUGUGAAAACCCGAGGCUCAACCUCGGGCCUGCAGUGGGUACGGGCAGACUAGAGUGGCGGUAGGGGAGAUUGGAAUUCCUGGUGUAGCGGUGGAAUGCGCAGAUAUCAGGAGGAACACCAGUGGCGAAGGCGGUUGCCUGGAGCUUGCUGACGCUGAGGCGCGAAAGCGUGGGGAGCGA
rnacentral:rRNA from 1 species